rnacentral:tRNA from 1 species
AUCCGUCGACUUUAGAAAUCGUGAGGGUCAAAG